GCCUCAGUAGCUCAGACGGUUUAGAGCGCGACAUUGGUAAUGUCGAGGUCGGGGGUUCAAUUCCCCCCUGAGGCU
rnacentral:tRNA from 1 species